GAAAGGUAUGCUAAUACGGGAUAAUAUAUUUGAGAGGCAUCUCUUAAAUAUCAAAGGUGAGCCAGUACAGGAUGGACCCGCGUCUGAUUAGCUAGUUGGUAAGGUAACGGCUUACCAAGGCGACGAUCAGUAGCCGACCUGAGAGGGUGAUCGGCCACAUUGGAACUGAGACACGGUCCAAACUCCUACGGGAGGCAGCAGUGGGGAAUAUUGCACAAUGGGCGAAAGCCUGAUGCAGCAACGCCGCGUGAGUGAUGAAGGCCUUCGGGUCGUAAAACUCUGUCCUCAAGGAAGAUAAUGACGGUACUUGAGGAGGAAGCCCCGGCUAACUACGUGCCAGCAGCCGCGGUAAUACGUAGGGGGCUAGCGUUAUCCGGAUUUACUGGGCGUAAAGGGUGCGUAGGCGGUCUUUCAAGUCAGGAGUGAAAGGCUACGGCUCAACCGUAGUAAGCUCUUGAAACUGGGAGACUUGAGUGCAGGAGAGGAGAGUGGAAUUCCUAGUGUAGCGGUGAAAUGCGUAGAUAUUAGGAGGAACACCAGUUGCGAAGGCGGCUCUCUGGACUGUAACUGACGCUGAGGCACGAAAGCGUGGGGAGCAAACAGGAUUAGAUACCCUGGUAGUCCACGCUGUAAAC
rnacentral:rRNA from 1 species